UGGAGGCUCCCAGAGGAGCUCCUCCCCAAGCCUUCCAGUGGGAGGACGCGGGGCCAAUGCCAGGGGGGGCCGGAGCUCCUGGGCACUGCCAAGGCCAGGAGAUAGGAUCUAGGGAGCCACGCAGGAGGAGCAGAGACAAGGCCAGUUUGGCGGGUUCCUGGAGCCCAGGAGGGAGUAAAGGCCAAGGAGCCAGAACACGCAGAUGAAGGCCAGCCUGGGAAAGGCUACGCACGUGGGUCCUAGAGGCUCCAGAAAGGCCCCGCAGUGACCAGUGCCGCGGCCAGAUCUGUGCUCAGCAAAAUGGCCCAGAGGAGGGAGAGGCUGGAGGCGGAGAGACUAAGGGAAGCUGUUUCAAUAGUCUGGAGGACAGUGAUGAGGGCAGCUGCCGAGGGGACAGAAGGCAUUGGACGUGCCAGCUGGGCACGAGGACAAGAUGGCACCGUUUGGUGCCUUUGCACGUGGGGAAUGAGGGCCAGCGAGGAAUCCGGGAGAAUGCCUAGGCGGGGACCCUGCAGCCCUGGGAACAUGGGGGUGUCUUCACAGAGAGAGGAGAGCGGAAGAGAAUGGGGCGGGGAAAGGUAUUGUUAAUGGCCUUCAGAGCCCGCAUCCUAACGGGGCACAAAGGCUUCAACGCCAAGGCUGCAAAGCAGGCGGUGACACGUCUUCUUUAAUGCCAUUCCUACUGAAAAAAGGUGUUUCCUUGCCAACCCUCUGAACAGUGCCCAGGACUUUGGGGGGACAGUUUCCUUUUCUGGGUUGGCAUGGAAGGAGGAGAAGAGAUCUGGAGGUGUUGCCUUCCUAAGAGCUUGCCCUCAGCUCCUGGAUAACUCGAUCAGAGUGGGAAGGAAGGUGGGGAUUGACGUGGGGACCAGUUUGCCUUGCCUGGCUCAUGACGUCUCCUGUCUUCCCUCAGGGCACCUUGCUCCUUGAACUAGCUGGCUUACUUCCCUCUACAAGGCAUCUUGAGGGCUAUGGCUGGUUCCUUCUCUACAAAGCCUAUUUCCCCAGAUGAUGGCACCUAGGGCUGGGCGGAGAAGGACGACCAAUCUGGGGCUGUGCAAACAAAACCAAUGGAGGAAAUGCAGACAGGACAAAAAUCUUUGGAGCACGUGUCUCUGACAAAGGCCUCAUCUCUCAACUAAAUGAGAACGGAGUCAAGUUUGCAAGAAUGCAAAGCCUUCUCCCGUUCACAAAUGAUCAAAAAUAUGAGCCGGCAGUUCUCAGAUAAAGGAAUUCAAACUAUCUCAAGCAUAUGAAAAAAUGCUCCGAAUCCCUCUUGACUAGAGAAGUGCAAAGUAAAACAAACCUCCGGGCUAUCAGACUGACUAAUAUACAAAAGGGAAAAUGAUGAAUGUUGGAGGAAUGUGGGAAAAUGGAGGCACUAAUACACUGUUGGGAAAGCUGUAAAGGGAUGCAACCAUUCUGGAGAGCAAUUUGGGACCAUGCCAAAGGGGCAUCUAAGAGCGCAUACCCUUUGACCCACUCUGUAGCCCAACGAGAUCAAAAAGAGAAGGGCGCAGCUGGGUGGCUCAGUGGAUGGAGAACCAGGCCUAGAGAUGAGAGGUCUUGAGUUCAAAUCUGGCCUCAGACACUUCCUAGCUGGGUGGCCCUGGAUGAGUCACUUGACCCCCAUUGCCUAGCCCUGACCCCUCUUCUGCCUUGGAACCAAUACAUAGAAUUGAUUCUAAGGUGGAAAGUAAGAGUUGAAGACACAAAAAAGAGGACCUGCUUCUACAAAAAGUGAGAGCUGCAAUCUUUGUGGCUGCCCAUCCGCUGGGAAGGGCUGAACAAGAUGUGGCAGAUGAUUGCGACGGAUUAUUAUUGGGCCCUAAGAAAUGACCAACAGGACGAUCCCCCAAAGCCUUGUAAGGAGCCCCGUAGAGUGAAGUGAGCAGAAGGACCAGGAGAACAGUGGGCCCAGGAACCGUGGUGGGUGAGCACCAUCUGCUGGGAAUGGCUUCACCACUCAGGAAAGCAAAGACCCAGGACCACCCCAAGGGGCUCCUGAUGGACACGGCUCUCCAGCCCAUAGCAGGAGCCAGUGGAGUCUGAUCACCGAUGGGAGCAGGCUUUUCUUCACCUUAUUUCCUCCAUGACUCCAUGACACUCUCGUGUGAGUCGUGUGUCUUCUUUCACAGCAGGACCAACAUGGAAAUACGGAUUGCACGAUAACCCAUGUUCGACCUUGAUCACAUUGCCUGAAGAGAGGGAUGGAGCAUGGAUCACAGACGGCCCCCAAAAGAUGGUUGUAAAUUGUAUCAUCCUGGCUGUGUGACCCUGGGCAAGUCACAGCCGCCACCGUCCAGCUCUUACUGCUCUUCUGCCCUGGACCCAAUACACUGUCCUGAUUCUAAGACAGAGAGGAAGGGGUUAAAAAAAGAAAAUUGUAUCAAGGUGCAGUCUGGGAAAGACGUUAAGGAUUUUAUAUGCAUUGUGUCCUUGAUUGUUGGCGUGUGUAUAGAUGGCACGGGAUUCUGGGUUUCCCCUGGACACCCCCAAA